GAAUCACAGGGUUAUGGAUAUUCUAUAAAUACAUAAGGUCUGGCUCGGGAUGGUUGUUUCCUGUGAUUCUACCCCAAAAGAGAUCUAAUUGAUGGUCUACUAGCCUGUCUUCCUGGGUGAUGGUAAAGGUAUCAGGUCCAUGAGGGCAUCCUAGGAGUUCAACCAUUUCUCUGUGGGUGUAGCGGUAAUCCAUAUCAAACAACCUAAAAGUGAUUAGGUCUUUGUUAAGUCCAAUACCAUGGUUUGGCAGGUGCACCAGGAAGCUUAGGAAUUUGGUCCGCUAUCG
rnacentral:lncRNA from 1 species